GCUUGCGAGGGCGUAUGGUGGAUGCCUUGGCAGACAGUACCGAUGAAGGACGUUUGAGGAUGCGAUAAUCCUAGGGGAGCCUCCAACAUGGCUUUGAUCCUAGGGUCUCCGAAUGGGGGAACCCGCCGGCCGUCAUGGGCCGGCACCGCCUAUGGGCGGGGGGUACGCAGGGAAGUGAAACAUCUCAGUACCUGCAGGAAGGGAUACUCCGUGAGUAGUGGCGAGCGAAAGCGGAUCAGACCAAACCGGUUGCGCGUGAUACCCGUCGGGGGUUGCGUUGCCGGUGUUGUGGGAUCACGUGUCCCGGUUCCGACGGGCCGGGCGGGAGUCAUAAAACGGCUUGCCAGGGGAACAGGCUUGAAGGCCUGGCCGUAGAGGGUGCCAGCCCCGUACCUGGACGUGAGCCGUCUUCCGAUCGUGUUGUCCCAAGUAGCGCGGGCCUCGUGGAAUCCCGCGUGAAUCAGCCCAGACCGUUGGGUAAGUCUAAGCAUACCUGUCUGACCGAUAGCGUACCAGUACCGUGAGGGAAAGGUGAAAAGCACCCCGGGAGGGGAGUGAAACAGUUCCUGAAACCGUGCGCCCACAAACCGUCGGAGCCUCUGUGUGGGGUGACGGCGUGCCUAUCGAAAAAUGAGUCUGCGAGUCAGUGGCGGGUGGCGAGCAUAAGCCGUGUGGCGUAUGCGUAGCGAAAGCGAGUCUUAAAAGGCGUUUUUUAGUCGCUUGUCCUGGACCCGAAGCGGGAUGAUCUAGCCCUGGGCAGGUUGAAGCGCGGGUAAGACCGCGUGGAGGACCGAACCCACCUGGGUUGAAAACCGGGGGGAUGACCUGGGGCUAGGGGUGAAAGGCCAAUCAAAUUCCGUGAUAGCUGGUUCUCUCCGAAAUGCAUUUAGGUGCAGCGUCGGUCGAUUGCGUCGCGGGGGUAGAGCUACCGGAUGCUUGCGGGCCCUUGUUGGGUACCAACAGCAGCCGAACUCCGAAUACCGUUGACGUGUAUUCCGGCAGUGAGUCGGCGGGGGAUAAGCUCCGUCGUCGAGAGGGAGACAGCCCAGACCGUCGUCUAAGGUCCCGAAGCGUGUGCUAAGUGGGAAAGGAUGUGGAGUCGCAUAGACAGCCAGGAGGUUGGCUCAGAAGCAGCCAUCCUUGAAAGAGUGCGUAACAGCUCACUGGUCUAGUGGUUCCGCGCCGACAAUGUAGCGGGGCUCAAGCACACCACCGAAGACGCGGCAGCAAUCUUCAUGGUUGCUGGGUAGGAGAGCGUCCUGCGAGGGGCGAAGCGGCGGUGGAAACCGGCCGUGGACUUCGUGGGAGUGAGAAUGCAGACAUGAGUAGCGAGAGACGGGUGAGGAUCCCGUCCGCUGGAUGACCAAGGGUUCCGGGGCCACGUUCGUCGUCCCCGGGUGAGUCGGGUCCUAAGGCGAGGCCGACAGGCGUAGUCGAAUGGAUGAACGGGUGGAUAUUCCCGUACCGACCAUGGACCGGCAAAACCGAGACGGUGAGUACUAACCUCCGCCUCGUGGUGGUUCCUUCCUUCGGGUUGGUAUCGCCGCGUGGUGUUGGGACCGUAGCCGCAGUAGGUCAGCGCAGGGGUGACACGGAAUGGGAGCCGGCCGCGGAGGUGGUUUUCCGUGGUCAAGCACGCAGCCAGUCAUGUAGGCAAAUCCGCAUGGCGCGCAUGGCGAGGUGUGAUGAUGGGAGCCGUUAUGGCUCGAUAUCCGGUUGUCCAGGCCGUCGAGAAAAGCCUCGGCGUGAGGGCCAUGGCCGCCCGUACCCCAAACCGACACUGGUGGUCAGGUAGAGAAUACCAAGGCGAUCGAGCGAAUCCUGGUCAAGGAACUCGGCAAAUCACUCCCGUGCCUUCGGUAUAAGGGAGACCCGCUGGGGUGAACCGGCUAGCCCGGGGAGCUUUGGUGGGUGGCACAGACCAGGGGGUAGCGACUGUUUACCAAAAACACAGGUGCAUGCGAAGGCGAAAGCCGCUGUAUAUGCACUGACGCCUGCCCGGUGCCGGAAGGUUAAGAGGAUCCGUCAACUCUUCGGAGCGAAGCGGUGAAUUCAAGCCCCGGUAAACGGCGGUGGUAACUAUAACCAUCCUAAGGUAGCGAAAUUCCUUGUCGGGUAAGUUCCGACCUGCACGAAUGGCGUAACGACUUCCCCACUGUCUCGACCAGGAGCUCGGCGAAAUUGCAGUACGAGUAAAGAUGCUCGUUAAGCGCAGAAGGACGAAAAGACCCCGGGACCUUUACUAUACCUUGGUAUUGGCGUUAGGCGCGGAUUGUGUAGCAUAGGCGGGAGGCUUCGAAGCG
rnacentral:rRNA from 1 species